UCAGCACUUUGCUGCACGAGCGGUCGGCUUGCCGGCCGCGCAUAGCUUACGUAAAGUCAUAUAUGUUUUCAGUUUUAAUUUGGACAUUUAAUAAAGAGCAUUGGCUUGAAUGUAAAACUCCGGCAGUGGCCGUCAACAUUUAUUCUAUUAAUUGAAAUUGGUUACCGAGCCUUAAGGGCCGUUAGCAACGGAGUUAGUUACUCCCAACGUAGUCUUCGUAAGAAGAGAGAAGAGAGCCAUUGGCAACCGCCCGGCACAUUCAUAUGAGCAGCCAGCCACGGUGGCAAUUACGUCUUCACCCCUUCCCCCGGACCAGCCACGGUGGCAAUUGGAUCGCAAAAACUGGACUUAUUUAAAAGCAUAUAAAGUCUACCUGUGCCAAAAAAAUAUUUAAUUUAUAAACACUUUUUAACAGUCUUAAAAACAGUGUACGGUCAAAACAAAUUUAAACAAAUAGUUCCUUAAACUGUGUGUGGCUGUUAAUCAAACAAAUAAAAAGAAUUAUUUUUUUGAGCGUACAAUAAUAAUACAAUGCAAUAAGACUUGAGUUUUAAUUUAUAAUAAAUACAUAUUCAUGAAUUGUGUUAAUUUAAUUAAUGCGUUUUAAAUAUUAUUUUCGUUUAAUUCCAGAAAGACUUUUUCAAAACAAAGGGGUGGACUUACAUCUACAUACAAGUUGUGUUUUAUUAGGGUGGACCUAAGAACACAAAAAAAGUGAAAAAAAUUUAGGAAAAAUAAACAUAAAUUUAAAUAAUUAGACAUUACAUAAAUAAAAAAAUUUAAUAAUUUAAUUGAAAAAAAAAAACAUUUUACAAAAUAAACAAAACUAAUAUAAUUUAAAAUGAGGGGAAUGUCGCGGUCAAAUUUUCACCUUUUAAGGAAAAAUAAAAGGAAGAGCUUCAGCAAUCGGCUGCUAGAGAUCUUACUUUUGAUACAGAAAAUAAUUCUGGAAAUUAAAGCCCAAAUUUAUAUGAACCUGAAUCGGAUAGAAGUGCAUCAAACUAUUCUUUUGAAUAUGAUACCUAUGACGCGGAUCUUAAUAAUGCAUUUGUUGAUUGCGAAAAUAAACCAAAUCUCCGUGAAAAAUUAUAAGAAUGGUACCAUAAUAAUGAUGCGACUAGAGAUCAACUUGAUGCACUUUUAAAAAUGUUUGAAUUCGGAAAAUCUAGAUCUUCAGUAGGACAAUAAGUCCAAGUUUGAUAAUGGAGCUUAAUUAUGACGGUACUAGGGAAACAAAAUGAAACAAUAUUCGAGUCACAAAGGAGGGACGGCUACCACAUAAAAGACCUUUGACUGGCCUUCACUAGGGCCAGAACAAAACUUACAAGGCUAAAAGUAUAGCAAAAAGGAUGAGAGAAGAAAAAAACGAC